rnacentral:rRNA from 1 species
GACGAACGCUGGCGGCGUGCCUAAUACAUGCAAGUUGAGCGCUGAAGGUUGGUCCUUGUACCAACUGGAUGAGCAGCGAACGGGUGAGUAACGCGUGGGGAAUCUGCCUUUGAGCGGGGGACAACAUUUGGAAACGAAUGCUAAUACCGCAUAAAAACUUUAAACACAAGUUUUAAGUUUGAAAGAUGCAAUUGCAUCACUCAAAGAUGAUCCCGCGUUGUAUUAGCUAGUUGGUGAGGUAAAGGCUCACCAAGGCGAUGAUACAUAGCCGACCCGAGAGGGUGAUCGGCCACAUUGGGACUGAGACACGGCCCAAACUCCUACGGGAGGCAGCAGUAGGGAAUCUUCGGCAAUGGACGAAAGUCUGACCGAGCAACGCCGCGGGAGUGAAGAAGGUUGUCGGAUCGUAAAACUCUGUUGGUAGAGAAGAACGUUGGUGAGAGUGGAAAGCUCAUCAAGUGACGGUAACUACACAGAAAGGGACGGCUAACUACGUG